rnacentral:ncRNA from 1 species
ACAGAGGUAGCCGAAAAUCUAUAAAAGAGUAGGCU